rnacentral:sRNA from 1 species
UCAGAGUAUGGGCAAAACAUGGGAUGU